rnacentral:rRNA from 1 species
AUUGAACGCUGGCGGCAGGCCUAACACAUGCAAGUCGAGCGAGCGGCGGACGGGUGAGUAAUGUAUGGGGACUGCCCGAUAGAGGGGGAUAACUACUGGAAACGGUAGCUAAUACCGCAUACUAUCGGAUAACCCAUAUGGGAUUAGCUAGUAGGUGAGGUAAUAGCUCACCUAGGCGACGAUCCCUAGCUGGGCUGAGAGGAUUAUCAGCCACACUGGGACUGAGACACGGUCCAGACUCCUACGGAGGCAGCAGUGGGGAAUAUUGGACAAUGGGCGCAACGCUGAUGCAGCCAUGCCGCGUGUAGGAAGAAGGCCCUCGGGUUGUAAAGUACUUUCAGUCGGGAGGCGUUACCGACAGAAGAAGCACCGGCUAACUCCGUGCCAGCAGCCGCGGUAAUUC